rnacentral:rRNA from 1 species
AACGAACGCUGGCGGCAUGCCUAACACAUGCAAGUCGAACGGAUGCAGCAAUGCAUCAGUGGCAGACGGGUGAGUAACACGUGGGAAUCUACCCAGUAGCCUGGAAUAACCGCGGGAAACUGCGGCUAAUACCGGAUACGCCCCUCGGGGGAAAGGAGCAAUCCACUAUUGGAGGAGCCCGCGUCCGAUUAGCUAGUUGGUGAGGUAACGGCUCACCAAGGCGAUGAUCGGUAGCUGGUUUGAGAGAACGACCAGCCACACUGGGACUGAGACACGGCCCAGACUCCUACGGGAGGCAGCAGUGGGGAAUAUUGGACAAUGGGGGAAACCCUGAUCCAGCAAUGCCGCGUGGGUGAUGAAGGCCUUCGGGUUGUAAAGCCCUUUUGGCGGGGACGAUGAUGACGGUACCCGCAGAAGAAGCCCCGGCCAACUUCGUGCCAGCAGCCGCCGCAG